ACUGGCACACUGCACAUCGACUCGCUCCGUUGUGCCUCUUCCAUUCUUUGAUUUUGAAACACCCACCUCUCUUUGGCGCCGUCUUUGCUCUUCAUGAGUGAGCACACAAGCACCAAUGCUGACUUGCCGCCCAUGUCUUCUGCCGACCUCGCUCCACGGUGGAUGUUGGCAGCCGCGCAGCUGACGACAACCGCGACGGAGCUGGCUGCAUCAGUUCCUUCGAGCGCGCCUGUCGCCGCUGCACCGUUUGUGCGUAGCCUCGUUUCUUUGCAGCGGGCAUCUAGCCGUGAUGUAGAACCGUAUCAAGUAUGCCGAGAAAAUGUAGACCAGCUGCUGGAGCUGCAAGGGGAGCAGAUGGGCCUUGCUCAGUCCUUGAAGGCCGCGCUGCGCGUCGCGUCCAUGCAUGCGACACCGGCCUUUGGUGUGGACAGCACAGCCGGCUCUCCACAGCAAGCGAGCACCCCAAAACUAGUCAUGGAUAACGUUGAGAACAUUUUUCCGGACCGCCGAGGUUGUAGCAGCAGCAGGUCACGUCAGCAAAGGCCGCCGAAUGCCAGCGCCAAAGCAGGCUCCCAACCAACACCAACGCCGUCAUCGUUGCCAUCGUUGGUAUCCUCUGUCACGUCUCUCGUGCAUCGCCUGCAGGUCCUCCAGCGCGAGUCGGCCGAGUUCGCUGCCACCCGAUGCCUGCCUGCACUUGCGGAGCUCUUCGCCACCUUUGAGGCGUACUGGGCCUGGAAGCGCUCUUCGAUGUGCGAUGGCGAUGCGCAAGAAGAGGAGGAAGCCAGCGCCAUACCUGUCACUGCGGGCUCAGUUUCCGCGCACCAUGCCAUGGAUGGUGCUCCGACGGCGAGCCAAGCGACUCAAGAACGACUCAGCCAGCAGCAGCAACCGCCAACGCUGCGUCAGCGCUACGAUCAGGCGCUGCGUGUUCGUGACGAGCUCCUCAGCUUCCUGCAGCUACACGCCGAGGCGGUGCGUGCGUUGGAUGUCCAACUGGAGCAGUGGUGCCAAUGCCGCAGCUCUGAGCCAGCGGCACAAUCUGCUAGAGGAUGGAUAACAGCGAGCCCAACGGGCACCAGUGGCGCACCUGCCGCCGUAUCACAUGAUGCCGACGCACAGGCCCACACCCAGCGGUGCGAGUUUGAGGCUUAUGCCUGCCAGCUGGUAGAGGUGGCACAGGCAACACACCACAUCGCGCAACUUCUACAGGCUGCGCUACAGGCGUUGUGUCGCCCUUCUCCGCGCACUCCUCGCCUCUCACUCAAGCCGAGGGCGGACGCAGUGGUGGAAGACGAGGGCCUCUCCAGUUUCUCCAAACAGCCACGACAGACGGAGGCGAAUGCAGCCCCCUCGCCAGGUAUCCACGAGCGGCGGCUUGGCCGACUGCAAACCCGGUCUUCCGCCAACACAGAAGGGCUGGCGCACAUUCGCACGGAGGGCCGCGGCAGCCCAUCAUCGUCACCGGGACCUCACACCAGUCGCACUGUGGGACGGCCGGAGUGCGCCCUCCGCAGUCUGUCGACUCCCAAAGCUCGAACCCUGAGAGGAUGUGCAAAACCGGCGCCAUGCGGCGACGCCAGAUGGGCGAGCGGCGCUGCGGGCGACGCACAAUGCUCCUGGAUAGAUAUACUGUCGCCGCUCACUCCGCCUCCGACCGCUGCAACGGCUUCAGCGAGCCCGUCAUCUUCUCCGCCACUCCGAGUAGAAAACGGUGCGCCACAUCAGCAGCUGCGGAGACAGCGACACGGUCGGCGCCUACUGUCACUUUCACCGGGUGCCGAGGCUCAGGCGGAGGGCAGUGCUUCGCCGGAUGCCGCCUCGCGCUCGUCUUCGCUGUACGCGGCCCCGUCCACUGCUGGUGGCGUCUCGCUAUCGCCACUGACGGUGCAACGUGGUGAUGCCGCCGCCGUGCCUGCGUGCUCGAGGGAGGACAGCACCGACAGGGAGCCUCAUUGCCUCGUUUCAAUGCCUUCCUUUGCCUCUCGGCUGGGGGGGCCCGGCGACGCAGAGGAGGACAGUGGCGUCCAGGCUGCGGUGACUCCUGUCGUCACCAUGUGCCCUGCAGCCGAUGGAUCAGCGCCGCGUAACCUUGGCGACGAUGUAGCGAGUCGCUUGAGCGCCGAUGCCGAGCAUCCGCCAUGGCCGAGGCUCCACAGCUUCUCUCAAGACGGUGCUCGGUCGCUACUGUGUGAGCUGGCCUCAGCCUCAGCUGAUGCUGCGGCCGGCGCGGGUGAGCCGCUGACCACGGGCCCUCAGCCACCCGUUAGCCGUCGCCGCGACGUCCCUGAAGUGCCCGCCUUGACCGACAGCACUCAUGAGAACUCUGCCGAGGUGACCGCCGACAGACAGGGCGCGACGGCCGUGUAUGUGCCACCACCGUCCGAGCAGCCAGCGAGCCUUCAGAGCGAUGCUUCAGCCGCUGCCCUCACACCAGUGAUCGUCAAUGUGGCGAGGAGUGAGGAGGGCCACGCGGCAUCACAGCCCUUUCCAUCCCCGCCCCCUCCCCUGCAGCGAGCUUUAGCGACGUGUGCAUCUGUGUCCCACACCACGAGCACGUCUCUGCACCUCCUCUCACCGCCAUCGCUUACGGUAGACGGUUCUGCGUGUUGCCGCACCACACGCAACGAAUGCGGCGGUGCAGGUGAACAGAGCCUCUCCCGUGUGGUCUGCGCGGCCUCGAUUCCGACAUCCCUGUGGCCGCGACUGCAUCAGAAAGGGGCAUCGCAGUCUUCCUCUUCUGCCGCACCGGUGCGGGCCUCCGCCGAUGUUGCAGGAGGUGCCCAGCUGGCGCGUAACACCACGGCGCUGGUGUAUACGCCAAGUCACGCACCGCCGAACGAGCCAGAGGGCGAUGGCGACGUAGCAAGCACCCACUCCGCCUCGCGCACCGUAGACCCGAAUUUCUACACAGCGCGUGCCAGCGGUGCUGGCGUCUCGCCACUUCCUGCCCUCGCUGCCCCCUUUCAUGGCUCCGCGAGCUCUGCAGGGCUGGAACCGUCGCCGAAACCGCUAGAGCAGACACAGUAUCCGGUGCAGCAGCAGGGACGACAGGCACACCAUUCACAAGAGUGGGACCGCACUUUUAUCCCCACACCCCUGCCGCUGGACAGCCUUGAGGAGGAGCUGAAUGAGGCUCAGGAGCGUCUUCAAGCACCUGCACCACCGCCGCAUAGUUCACCGGCGUUCUCCGCCAGCAGCGCGGCGCCGGACAACUACCCCGCGCCUUGGCCGCAGCACCGUUCGCUGGAGGAUCGCGUGAUGCUAACCAUGCGAGAAGAGCUCAAGGCUCUGCGCGCGGAGCAGCGUCAUAACUUACACAAGAUGCGCAAGUACGUCAAGCACACGCUUGAGGAGGUGGCUGAAGCGGUCUCGGCGGUGAGCAGCCGUAACCACAGCAGCAGAGGCAGCAGCUGCGCAAGCAGCCGAAGUCAGCGCCCUGGGACGUCACACAAGAUGAACGACAAUGACGCUGAUGCCUCUGCAGGAGGCGUGAGGGUCACCGUGACAGCAGAGAAGCAGCGACAUGCCUCACAUGCUUCAGAGCAGGCCCGAGCCGAAGCGUCCGCGAAGCCGAUCGAAGCGGUAAGUGCAUCGGCUUCUAUCAAGCUGAGCACCAAUUCAGCGACCCUCCCUCCUCGACUCUCGACCGCUCAGCAGCAGCAGCAGACGGCGUCUGCCGCACCUGCAUCGCCGCCUUCGAAGGCAGAAGAACUGCAACGUUCCUUGGCAGUAGCGGAGGCGAAGGCGGCGCGACUCGAACAGCUCACCGUGCAGCUGAAGAAGCGGCUGUGGAUGGCGGAGCUGUCGCGGCUGUCGCCCACGCCGGCGACACCAGGGGCCAGGGAGGUGACAGCAGCUGCAAAGCAUUGCCUCAGCCUGCGCGAUGCGUUUGUCUACGGCCUCUCGAGUGACGCCGGCGACACAGAGGACGAUGACGGCAGCUGGCCGAAAACCGGGCAGGCAACUGGAUGUAUGAGCUAUUCUGACGAAGACGGCUCGGCUGCUGAUGGCGUAGCGGCCGAGGAGCGGGCAAUGCUGUACCUAGUAGACCGCGAGCUGGGCUGCCGCACUGCGUUGGAUGCCCGCGCUCACUCUCAGCGUCGCCCGAGCGCACCUCACCAGACGCGGAGUGAGGUGUAUCGCUCUUCGCGCCAGGUGCCAUAUGAUGGCAGCCGCUCUUCUUCCACGGAGCAAGAGCGCUCGCCCAACAUGCGAUGCUUCGAAGACGACACAGCCGCCCACCUUGGGCUGACAGUCACCUCGACGGCUUCCGCAGGCAUCACCAGGGGAUACAGCGGCCGCCGACUUUGCUCGAGCUCUGCCGCACCCGUCGGCGCUACCAGCAGCACGACGGCAAUGCGGUCACUCGGCAUUCUUCAGCAGCGUGCGUCCAUCUUUCAAGUGCUGCGUCAGAAUCAAGCUGCAAGGGACGCGCAGCCAGCUGCACCGACGGGGCAGCAGCAGCAGCAGCAGAGUGAACGCUCUCGGCUCCGUCCACCACCACCACCGCUGCAACACUGCUCUGCAGGUACAGCGACGGAAGUGACUGCAAAGUUUACGACAUCGGAGCAGUCAACAGCGCCUUCGCCGCCACCGUGUGCGGCUCAGCAGCCUCGUCAGCAUCCUUACAACGCAGGCACCGCGCCGAGCAGGUACGACAGACAAGCAGACGAAGGAGCGGCAGCCGGCUCUCCGAGGCAAUCUGCCUCCUCACACUACUACACCGCGAUCUCUGGAGGCAGCGACACCGGCUUUGUUUCAGAGGCGGGGCGGCAAUCAUCCGCCUCGGCCACCGCACUUCGCGCCGAGCAGGUGUUGCAGAGUGCGAAGCGGCUUCUGCAGAGUCGAAGCGUGUCUCUAGCUGCGGGGCAUCACAACAUCAGCGACAACUCGCGCUCCAGCGCGUCGCUCUCGGGGGGCUUGCAGGCGUCCUUCACUGCCAUAUCAUCACCCAAGACGCGGGCAAACGCCGGCGAUCACCGUUCUGAGAUGCCUUAUCACCACGGAGGAGGCGCAACAGGAGGGGUGCCUGCUGCCCUUGCCGGCCGCCACAGCCGACCAGGACAGUGGGGUGAUUGCGUGGAGCAGCUUGACGGUGCCACACUUCCUCCACGCGCCUUUUCGGCCCCCGCUCUGCAUUCUGGCACGACAGACGCGGCCACGGCUUUGCAGCGUGUCAGUGGCUCGCUGGACCGUGGCGCAGCCAGCAUCUCUGCGGCUGUCAGUGGGCAUGGGUCGCGCUCGCACUCUUCGUCGCCGGAGAGCGCCUACCACGGCUAUGAUACAUCCCCAUGCUCUGCCGUGGCGUAUUCCACCAGCAAAGUGCCGCGUGCCUCUUCCCCAUCCGCCGCAAAAGCCGCGCCGAAAUCGACGCAGCAGUGGUGCCCGCCGCUGCUGGUCGACGUGUCUCAUGCGAUGACAAGUGUGACACCGGCAAGACACGCGCAGCACCGUGCUGACAGCGCUACGUCGCCCAUCUCCCGCGAAGAUGCUGAGGUCAGGGCAACGGCGGGCCGGGGAGAGCACGGCGCCUACAUCCACAGUGACGUCGGCUUGCGCCAUCGCGAGCGCAGCGCACGCACCGUCACGACUUCUAUCGAGAGCGACUACAGCCCACCGUCAGACCGCACCACGGACACACGUAGCACACGCGGGUUUCGCAGCUCUUCUUCGCCCUUGCAUGCUGCUGCAGUGCAACAUGUGCAUGACAGCCGGCAAGAAGCGCCGGUGCCCCUGACAUCGCGGGCGGGUCAAAGUACGAGUCGCCGCACCUCUUGCUCAACGUCAUCGACGCUGUCGCGUGGCUCUGCUCAGCAGGAGUUGCUGGACACGCUGGAAAAGCAGGAGUCCACCUUGGCAGCAGCCCUGGACCACCUUCAGGAGCAGCAGAGGCAGCUGAGGGAGAAGCAUCAGCAGGUGUCGCUGCUGGCAAAACGAACAUCCCUCGUCGCCCCUGUGCAUGCACCAUCACAGGAGCCUCGUGGCGACUAUUCACGCGCCACCGGUGCUGCUGCUGCUGCGACGACAAGGAAACAGCUCAUGCGCGCUUUCAGUAGAGACCGCCACGGCAACGCGGCGGCGGCAAGGACGUCUCACGCCUCAUCGGAGCUCCACCAUCUGCUGGAGCGAUUUGCAGCUGCGGAGACGUCGUUGGCCGAGCGCGAGCGGCGAGUACGAAAGGCGUUGCGGGUGGUGCAGCGGCAGCGGAGUGCCCUGUCGCGUGAUGACCUCCUCUAGAGGGUGAGUGACUCUUUGCACAGGAUGCCGUUGCGCUUCCCCGUGUAUUCCCUCUCUCUCUGCGGCUUGCUGAGGCGGGAGGGGGGGGGGGCAGAGCGCGUUCGCGUGUGCAUGAGUCUGUGUCUGUGGACGAGUGCCUCCCCCCUCCUCUUCGCUGUCCUGCAUGUUCACAGCAGCCACCCCACCGAGCCACGAGAGGGGGGAGGGGCCGCGGCGCCCACGCGCGCGUACGGGGCACCUGCUCAUCACAGUGACUUCCCGUGUACCCCUGAGCUGGAAGCUCUCGCGUUGCCAGGGCGCCCGUUCAUAUGUGUGCGCAAUGCAUCUCCCCCUCCCCCCACACACAACAAGCACACACGAAGGGACGGGCACACGCAGUUGCGCCAAGACGUAUUUUGCUUGUGUGUUUGCGUGUAGCGCAGAGGCGUUGCGGAAUCGAACGGAGGAGGAUGCGUGUGUGUGCUACAGAUGGACAAGGAAGGGGCCGUGCGCUGGUGGGCGGCGUGUGGGCCGGGGGAGGGAGAGAAGGGAUGCGAUGGAUGCAAGACUGCCUGUGUGUCUUCCCUGCGCGCCCCUUGCCCCCUCCCCCUCUCUGCGUCUUCCUCACCCACAUGCCCUGAAGGCUUGCGGACUCUGGUAAGAUGCUCCCCCCAUCUCGGUCUUCACCUCGUCACGACACACCUGUCGUCUUCCCUCCUCCCCAGUGCAGCCGACUCUGUCCAUUUCACUGACACAUCGACCGCAUGCCACACACGCACACACACCUGCAUACCCCUGCAAACGUACACUUAAACUUACUCAUGCGCACCUUCUCCUCCUCCCCCCUCCCUCCCUCCCUACACGCUGCUCUUCCUUCACCAUUCUUGUGCGAGGUAG
rnacentral:misc_RNA from 1 species